rnacentral:rRNA from 1 species
UACGUAGGGUGCAAGCGUUGUCCGGAAUUACUGGGCGUAAAGCGUGCGCAGGCGGUUAUGUAAGACAGGUGUGAAAUCCCCGGGCUUAACCUGGGAACUGCAUUUGUGACUGCAUAGCUAGAGUACGGUAGAGGGGGAUGGAAUUCCGCGUGUAGCAGUGAAAUGCGUAGAUAUGCGGAGGAACACCGAUGGCGAAGGCAAUCCCCUGGGCCUGCACUGACGCUCAUGCACGAAAGCGUGGGGAGCAAACAGG